GCGGAGAAAUUCCAAUCGAACCUGGAGAUAGCUGGUUCUCUCCGAAAUAGCUUUAGGGCUAGCCUCAAGUGAUGAUUAUUGGAGGUAGAGCACUGUUUGGACGAGGGGCCCCUCUCGGGUUACCGAAUUCAGACAAACUCCGAAUGCCAAUUAAUUUAACUUGGGAGUCAGAACAUGGGUGAUAAGGUCCGUGUUCGAAAGGGAAACAGCCCAGACCACCAGCUAAGGUCCCAAAAUAUAUGUUAAGUGGAAAAGGAUGUGGCGUUGCCCAGACAACUAGGAUGUUGGCUUAGAAGCAGCCAUCAUUUAAAGAGUGCGUAAUAGCUCACUAGUCGAGUGACACUGCGCCGAAAAUGUACCGGGGCUAAACAUAUUACCGAAGCUGUGGAUUGUCCUUUGGACAAUGGUAGGAGAGCGUUCUAAGGGCGUUGAAGCAUGAUCGUAAGGACAUGUGGAGCGCUUAGAAGUGAGAAUGCCGGUGUGAGUAGCGAAAGACGGGUGAGAAUCCCGUCCACCGAUUGACUAAGGUUUCCAGAGGAAGGCUCGUCCGCUCUGGGUUAGUCGGGUCCUAAGCUGAGGCCGACAGGCGUAGGCGAUGGAUAACAGGUUGAUAUUCCUGUACCACCUAUA
rnacentral:rRNA from 1 species